rnacentral:rRNA from 1 species
GCCAGACUCCUACGGGAGGCAGCAGUGAGGAAUAUUGGUCAAUGGCCGGAAGGCUGAACCAGCCAAGUCGCGUGAGGGAAUAAGGCCCUAUGGGUCGUAAACCUCUUUUGUCAGGGAGCAAAGGCGUCCACGUGUGGACGAGAGGAGAGUACCUGAAGAAAAAGCAUCGGCUAACUCCGUGCCAGCAGCCGCGGUAAUACGGAGGAUGCGAGCGUUAUCCGGAUUUAUUGGGUUUAAAGGGUGCGCAGGCGGAGGUGCAAGUCAGCGGUCAAAUUGCGGGGCUCAACCCCGUACUGCCGUUGAAACUGCAUCCCUUGAGUGCGCGAGAAGUAUGCGGAAUGCGUGGUGUAGCGGUGAAAUGCAUAGAUAUCACGCAGAACUCCGAUUGCGAAGGCAGCAUACCGGCGCGCAACUGACGCUCAUGCACGAAAGCGUGGGUAUCGAACAGGAUUAGAUACCCCCGUA